GCAGAGAGAUAGCUCAGUUGGUAGAGCAUGAGAGUCUUAAUCUCAGGGUCAUGCGUUUGAGCCCCAUGUUCAGCG
rnacentral:tRNA from 1 species